rnacentral:rRNA from 1 species
GGGAGGUAGUGACAAUAAAUAACAAUACGGGGCUCUUUCGGGUCUCGUAAUUGGAAUGAGUACAAUUUAAAUCUCUUAACGAGGAACAAUUGGAGGGCAAGUCUGGUGCCAGCAGCCGCGGUAAUUCCAGCUCCAAUAGCGUAUAUUAAAGUUGUUGCAGUUAGAAAGCUCGUAGUUGAAUUUCGGGAUCAGCAAGUUGGUCGUGCCUCUGGUACGUACUGGCUUUACUGGUUCCUCCUUCUUGAAGAACUGUAAUGUCAUUAAUUUGGUGUUGCAGGGAAACAGGACUGUUACUUUGAAAAAAUUAGAGUGUUUAAAGCAAGCUAACGCUUGAAUACAUUAGCAUGGAAUAAUGAAAUAGGACGUUUGAUCCUAUUUUGUUGGUUUCUAGGAUUUUUUUUUUGACGUAAUGAUUAAUAGGGA